AUAACCUUUUAAAAAGUAGUCCAGUGAGGCUAUGAAGGGUUGCCGUUGGUUGGGGGAAUUUAAGGGGAUAACUGUAUCAGUCCGCCUAAAAACUAACCAGAAGCAAAACCUCGUGAAUCACUGAUUCACGAGGUUUUUUUGAU
rfam:Weissella cibaria strain MG1 contig000024, whole genome shotgun sequence.